rnacentral:misc_RNA from 1 species
UGUGCAACUCUGCCAAGGCGUUACCACCGCGCACGCGUGUGUGUCUGUCUGUCUACCAUCCUUGCUGCGGGGAGGUUGUGGGUGCAUCCAUACGGCAGUCAGGCAGACGGUGGGCUUCACAUCACACUUUCUCCUUGCCACUGCGCCACACUGUGCACGCACUUCUCUCUUUUUUCUAUUGUUUCUUUCUCUGCCUUUCGAUUCAGAAUGCGCUGCGUGCGCGCCCUGCCCGUGGAUCACCGCCUUGCGGCACUGCGGGUGGUGACAGGUACACCGACGUAUGCAACCACUUUGGGCUCUGCGUGCCUUUCGUUGGUUUUGGAUGGCAAUGCGGCACUUCAAGCCAGUCGUCGCUACUCGUCCACCUCGGCGCACGGCGCGCGGUCGUCAGCAGCUGCGAGCACGUCCAAGCUGAAUUACUACCGAAACCUCGGCGUCGACACGGAUGCGACACCUCAGGAGGUGAAGACCGCCUACCGCCAACUGGCGCUGAAGUACCACCCCGAUGUGGUGGAGGAGGCACACAGGGCACACGCGGAGAUGCUCUUCCGCCGUGUUUCGGAGGCGUAUGAGGUGCUCUCCGACCCGGUGAGGCGUCGUGCGCACGAUGCGGAACUAGGCAUCCAGACGCGCCGCAAGCAGCAACCGUCUGCCGCCAACGCAAAGGCGGGCACAAGGACCGGCUCUCCUGCCGGCGGCGCGCGGCCGUCCUCAGCAUCUGCGGGAAGGCGGAAGCACACAACAUCGACGGCUUCGUCAACGUCCUCGACGACCUUUCAGCAGCCGCAGCAGCGGCGGUAUCGCAAGCCGUUUGUGCGCGGUGAUGCCAAUCGUGUCUUCGCCGACGCGUUCGACGGGAAGACGUUGGACGAAAUUCUGUUUGACGUGCAGCGUCGUCGCCGUCAAGAAAAGACUGGAAGGGCGGCAGCGGAGCAGCGUCGCGAACGGGGCGGUGGCACGGGGCAUGCGGCGCCCAAUGACACCGCAAAAUCGUCGUCGUCGCCGCCACCGGCCAUGGGGGAAAACGCCCCUCUCGACCGCGACGCACGUCUGCGCCACGUGAUGGAGACGGCCGCCGAGUUGUUUGCGCAGCGAGCGCAGCGUCAGUACGGGCACGGAAUUCUUCGUCACAUACGUGGCGUAGCCGGUCCGCUGCCAGAAGGGCCGGCAGCUCCGCCUGAGGUUUACAUGCCGUUCCGUCCAUUUGUCGGCAUGCCGGUCCCUCCUGGUGUGCGGACCCCUCCGGAGCCGAAACUGGGAAAGGUGUUAUACUCGCAAGAGGCCACCAUAGACAGCAGCAGCAGCACACCCGACUCUCGUGGUGCGGCUUGGUACGAGAUUCCGAAGCAGUUUCACACGCACACGUACGCAGACGGUACCCCACAGAGCCGCUCCGCGAGUUUGGCCAAGGCAACCAAGUACAUCCACGGCAUGCCGCACAACAUGGGCCAGCUCUACUCGUAUCACCGCCCGUACUAGGCAGAAACAGAAAAGGAGCAGCAGCGCGCGUACGUGUGUGCGUGUAUGUGUGAACUCACGCAUUGAUAGAAGGUGAGGCGCGAGGUGUUCGCUGACCGCGAACAGGCACGGCAUGCUGACGGUGUUUCUUUUGACGGGCCUCGGGCGUGUGUGUCCUUGCGAGCCAUGUUUCGCCUUCCACGCAGGACAUGAAGGAGGCGGCCAUGGUCGUAUCCUCACAUUCAUGGAAGACCCUCUACGGUUCUUCUCGACUACUCCCUGCUCAUCGCUGGCGGCUGUUGAUUGGCUGCCUUGCCAGCGCGCGCGCACACAUACACAUAUUCACACACACGGCUGGGCAAGGGUGAAGAAUUUGAACUCGCGAAAGGACGGCCAGGUGCGUAGGGUGGGUGCACUAGGGUGCACGCUAAGUGCCCCCCCCCCUUCCUGCUGACGCCCGCAUUAAGCCAAACACAAAAGUC